CAGAGUUCGUGCCCUCACGGGUAGAUCUCCCACCCUGUGUUAUUGUUACCUUUGUUGCUUUGGCGGGCCGCCAGGCCCCGGCCAGGCUACCGGCCCCCCGCUGGUGCGUGCCUGCCAGAGAACCUUCAAACUCUGAAUGUUAGUGUCGUCUGAGUACUAUAUAAUAGUUA
rnacentral:misc_RNA from 1 species